CGGGGGAGCAAGCGUUGUUCGGAUUUACUGGGCGUAAAGGGCGCGUAGGCGGCCACCGCAAGUCGACUGUGAAAUCUCCGGGCUUAACCCGGAAAGGUCAGCCGAUACUGCGGGGCUAGAGUGCAGAAGGGGCAACUGGAAUUCUCGGUGUAGCGGUGAAAUGCGUAGAUAUCGAGAGGAACACCUGCGGCGAAGGCGGGUUGCUGGGCUGACACUGACGCUGAUGCGCGAAAGCUAGGGGAGCGAACGGGAUUAGAUACCCCGAUAGUCCUAGCCUUAAACGAUGAAUGCUUGGUGUCUGGGGUUUUAUAGUCCCCGGGUGCCGUCGCUAACGCUUUAAGCAUUCCGCCUGGGGAGUACGGUCGCAAGACUG
rnacentral:rRNA from 1 species